UUCCUACGGGACGCAGCAGUGAGGAAUAUUGGUCAAUGGUCGGGAGACUGAACCAGCCAAGCCGCGUGAGGGAUGAAGGUACAGAGUAUCGUAAACCUCUUUUGUCAGGGAACAAAGGCGGGGACGUGUCCCCGGAUGAGUGUACCUGAAGAAAAAGCAUCGGCUAACUCCGUGCCAGCAGCCGCGGUAAUACGGAGGAUGCGAGCGUUAUCCGGAUUUACUGGGUGUAAAGGGAGCGUAGACGGCAGCGCAAGUCUGGAGUGAAAUCCCAUGGCUUAACCAUGGAACUGCUUUGGAAACUGUGG
rnacentral:rRNA from 1 species